rnacentral:rRNA from 1 species
AACGAACGCUGGCGGCAUGCCUAACACAUGCAAGUCGAACGAUACCUUCGGUUCUAGUGGCGCACGGUUGCGUAACGCGUGGGAACCUGCCCUUAGGUUCGGAAUAACUCCCCGAAAGGGGUGCUAAUACCGGAUAAUUUCUUCGGACCAAAGAUUUAUCGCCUUUGGGUGGGCCCGCGUUGGAUUAGCUAGUUGGUAGGGUAAAAGCCUACCAAGGCGACGAUCCAUAGCUGGUCUGCGAGGAUGAUCAGCCACACUGGGACUGAGACACGGCCCAGACGCCUACGGGAGGCAGCAGUGGGUAAUAUUGGACAGUGGGCGAAAGCCUGAUCCAGCAAUGCCGCGUGAGUGAUGAAGGCCUUAGGGUUGUAAAGCUCUUUUACCCGGGAUGAUAAUGACAGUACCGGGAGAAUAAGCACCGGCUAACUCCGUG